rnacentral:rRNA from 1 species
UACGAAGGGGGCUAGCGUUGUUCGGAAUUACUGGGCGUAAAGCGCACGUAGGCGGAUAUUUAAGUCAGGGGUGAAAUCCCGGGGCUCAACCCCGGAACUGCCUUUGAUACUGGGUAUCUUGAGUGUGGUAGAGGUGAGUGGAAUUGCGAGUGUAGAGGUGAAAUUCGUAGAUAUUCGCAGGGAACACCAGUGGCGAAGGCGGCUCACUGGACCACAACUGACGCUGAGGUGCGAAAAGCGUGGGGAGCAAACAGGG